UACGGAGGGGGCAAGCGUUAUCCGGAUUUACUGGGUUUAAAGGGUGUGUAGGCGGUCAGUUAAGUCAGCGGUGAAAUCUCCGGGCUCAACCCGGAAACUGCCAUUGAUACUAUUUGUCUUGAAUAUCGUUGAGGUAGGCGGAAUAUGUCAUGUAGCGGUGAAAUGCUUAGAUAUGACAUAGAACACCGAUUGCGAAGGCAGCUUGCUAAACGAUGAUUGACGCUGAGGCACGAAAGCGUGGGGAUCAAACAGG
rnacentral:rRNA from 1 species